rnacentral:rRNA from 1 species
AUGCACGCUGGCGGCGUGCCUCAUCCAUGCCAGUCGAGCGAACGGACGAGAAGCUUGCUUCUCUGAUGUUAGCGGCGGACGGGUGAGUAACACGUGGAUAACCUACCUAUAAGACUGGGAUAACUUCGGGAAACCGGAGCUAAUACCGGAUGAUAUUUUGAACCGCAUGGUUCAAAAGUGAAAGACGGUCUUGCUGUCACUUAUAGAUGGAUCCGCGCUGCAUUAGCUAGUUGGUAAGGUAACGGCUUACCAAGGCAACGAUGCAUAGCCGACCUGAGAGGGUGAUCGGCCACACUGGAACUGAGACACGGUCCAGACUCCUACGGGAGGCAGCAGUAGGGAAUCUUCCGCAAUGGGCGAAAGCCUGACGGAGCAACGCCGCGUGAGUGAUGAAGGUCUUCGGGUCGUAAAACUCUGUUAUUAGGGAAGAACAUAUGUGUAAGUAACUGUGCACAUCUUGACGGUACCUAAUCAGAAAGCCACGGCUAACUACGUG